CUGCCGGCGCGCCGGCGUGGUUGGAGAGUGAGGGGGCCGGGGGCCGGCGGCGGCCCCCUCGGUCUGGGGGAGGUCCGUUCUGCCCCCGCCCGCGGCGCUGGGAAGUGUGCGCUCCACCUGCCAGUUGGGCCCGAGGGGACGCGGAGCCGGCCCCGCGUGCAACCGCGUGCCCUCAGCCCCGCGAGCGCAGGGUCCGAAGUCUGGGGGCGCCGGCGCGCUGAGGGGAGCGAGACUCGACGCGCUUGCCCACGGAGGCCCAAGGACCGCCCCCAGGAGCGUCCAGUUGUGGGAAACACUGGCAGGAGACGGGAGCGAAAAGGACCCUGAGGCCUGGUUACUUGUUUCUGAGAUCAGCCCUGCUGGGUCACGGAGGUGACAAAGACCUCUUUCUAAUGCAUCUCAAGGGACAGAGAAAGCCAGGACCAGCUGCUGGGCCUCUCGCACGGGCUCAUUAACAGCUGGGAGAUGGGAUUAUGGGCCAGACAAGCAGCUGCAGACUUCCAGUCUCUGCAUGGAGUUUGUGCCCAUGGUUGGUUCUAUGUUCUAAGAAGCCCUGGAUAUCUGCCCACAGGGGGUAGAGUUCAGUGGGUUUUUACAAGUGUCAACACCAUGUAACUGCCAGCCAACACGAUCAGGAUAUAGAAUGUUUCCAUCGCCUCAGAAAGUUCCCCGUGCCCUUUGCAGUCAGUUCCGGGCCCCGGGAAACCACCCAUGUGCGUGCUUUCCGGUUACGAGAUCGGCUUUGCCUGUUCAAGAAUGUUCUGUGAAUAGAAUCAUAUAGCAGUGCCCUGCGCCCGUCACCAGGACUCAAUUCCAGACACCUCACCACCCCUCGUGGAGACUCCUCCCCAACAGGCGGCCGCCACUAUGCUCCCUCCCCCAACGCCCGGCAGUCACAUGCUACGUGGCCCACCCCACCUGCUUUCUUGCUCUCCGCCCGGAAGGCUCCGUGUUUCCCAGGGUCGCCGUGUGGGUAUGUCGUGCCCCCUUCCUUCAGAUGGCCGAAUGACGCCCCACCGUUUGGAGAGACCACGUUUCUCCUGCUCGCGCCUCAGCUGAUGGACGUUUGCCGUGACUCCACCUUUUGGCUGCUGGGCGCACCACGGUUUUGUCUGGACACCCGUCCCACUUGUUUUGAGCGUAUACGUGGGGCGGAAGUGCAGGUCCUGGCAUCAUCCCGCGUCCGCCGGGGCUAUUUGUGUCGACGCUCUACAUCAGAGCAAGGAGCUUCCCUUCUAUUAUUAGCUUACUUUUCAGAACAUCCAGAAUGGAUACUGCAUUUUAUCACAGGUUCUCCUGCAUUGACUGACUUGAUCGCACAACUGCUCCUUUUAUUACGUCCGUUUGGGAAAAUAUUCUGAAUGAUUUUAGAAACAUUAAACCGACUCUGAACUCCCGGGGUGAGCCCAGCUUCA